GUCCAAUGGUUGACUGGCAGAGAACACCGUCCGCUGUUAAGUCCGCCAAAUGUACAUAGAAUUUUACUGAGCAUUAAAGUUUAAAUAAAUAAAUAAUAAUAAUUAAGAUAAAUACACAAUUAAAUAAUACAACAGCCAAUAAGGUUUACACUGAUGAAGGAAAUACAAAAAGAAAAGAAAUAUUAUUGAAAAUUAAAGCAUUAAAGCAAAUUAAUUAAUCUUUUUGACAGAUAAAAUAUACGUACCAAUGUUACAAUUAAAUAAACACAUAUGGCAAUACUGUGAUUUAUCAGACAGAUUAAAAAAAAUCGCGUUCUAAGAAAUGUCCACCGUUUAUCAUAAAUAAUAUUUCUUUGUAAGCUAUUUAUAAAACUACCGAACAAACAUUUUCUUUCAUUAAGUAGUUAACCGAAUCGAUAUCUUGCCAGGUGCGCUCCGUAUUGCAUUUCUUAUACAUAUAUACCUAUGGAGAUACGGUUAGCCGAUGAAUAUUAUAUAGCAGGCCAAACGGCCGGUGUUGCUGAUUGUAAUUUACAUUGCAAAAUUGUAAUUUACAUUGCUUUUAUGGUAAUCUAACGUUUAAAAGCGAUCUUGUGAAUUUUUUAUUCUUAUUUACUUCAUUGUUUAUUUUUUGACUCUACAGCUGAAUCUAUGUACACGUAUUCGUUCGUGUUCCUAACUUUCUAAAGCAAGCCAUAAUCCGGAUCUCAGCAGAUUCCUAUAUACGUUACCGUACCUCGUGCAACAUGCAUCGUCCGGAAAUGACGAGCCGCAUCCGGUGGACGUCUCUGCGAGUCGACACAACCGCUCAAUAGUUCAGGAGUAUUCUAUUGAAGAGGAAUUGAAGGUUUAUGGCUUCUACAUUCCUCGGACACUCGAUUCGCGUCGUUGAAACUGUCAGUACCAGAAGAGACGACGGUACGGUACUAAGCUUUGUGCAAAAGUUCCCUGUAAUAGUUUUCAAAUACGACAGUUAAUAGACGUGUAACAGAAAGUAAUAUAAUAAAUAAAUAUGUGUAUAUAGAGCGAUAAGU